rnacentral:rRNA from 1 species
UCGAGAAUUUUGGGCAAUGGACGAAAGUCUGACCCAGCAAUGCCGCGUGCGGGAUGAAGGUCUUCGGAUUGUAAACCGCUGUCAAGAGGGACGAAAACAUUGACGGUACCUCUGGAGGAAGUCACGGCUAACUACGUGCCAGCAGCCGCGGUAAUACGUAGGUGACAAGCGUUGUUCGGAUUCAUUGGGCGUAAAGGGUCCGCAGGUGGUUCGAUAAGUCUGACGUGAAAUACCGGAGCUCAACUCCGGAAUUGCGUUGGAGACUGUCGGACUAGAGUAUCGGAGAGGAAAUUGGAAUUCCAGGUGUAGCGGUGGAAUGCGUAGAUAUCUGGAAGAACAUCGAAAGCGAAGGCAGAUUUCUGGACGAUUACUGACACUCAGGGACGAAAGCAUGGGGAGCAAACA